rnacentral:lncRNA from 1 species
UUCUCUUUAAUGGAGAAAUUACAAGACAAAGAGAGAGAUUAUAAGAGAGGGAGGGAGAGUUUCAGUUUAGCAAUUCAGAAUCUGAUACUGUGAAUUUUCCCCAUAUAUAUAUAUAUAUAUAUGUCCCCAUAUAUAUUUACUCAAUCUCCCCAUAUAUAUAUAUAUGUCCCCAAACACUAAUACAACUUCCAGUUUAGCAAUUCAGAAUCUGAUACUGUGAAUUUUCUACUAAAAAGACAGUCCCGUUCCUUACAGAAAAUUCCAAAUCUUCUGAUUUAAUUCCAAUUUCAACACAAGUCAUUUCCGACUUAUAUUUACUUCUCUAAGUCCAAUAAAAAUAAUAUUUCACACUAUUUUUAUUUUUACUUGAUUUUAUAUCAAAAAUCUGGUACACUACACCUUUCCCUCCUUAAAAGAAGUUUCGUCCUCGAAACUUAUGGUCAAAUCUC